GACGAACGCUGGCGGCGUGCUUAACACAUGCAAGUCGAACGGAAAGGCCCUGCUUUUGUGGGGUGCUCGAGUGGCGAACGGGUGAGUAACACGUGAGUAACCUGCACUUGACUUUGUGAUAACUUCUGGAAACUCGGGCUAAUACCCGAUAGGAGCUCCUGCUGCAUGGGGGGGGUUGGAAAGUUUCGGCGGUGGUGGAUGGAUUCGCGGCUUAUCAGCUUGUUGGUGGGGUAGUGGCUUACCAAGGCUUUGACGGGUAGGCGGCCUGAGAGGGUGACCGGGCACAUGGGGACUACGAUAGGGAGCAGAAUGCUACGGGAGGCAGCAGUGGGGAAUAUUGCACAAUGGGGGGAAGCCUGAUGCAGCAACGCCGCGUGCGUGAUGAUGGCCUUCGGGUUGUAAACCGCUUUGGCAGGUGACGAAGAGUGAGUGACGGUAAUGGGUAAAGAAGCCACGGCUAACUACGUG
rnacentral:rRNA from 1 species